UUCUGGAGUUUGGCAGAGGGGGGUAGAAUUCCACGUGUAGCAGUGAAAUGUGUAGAGAUGUGGAGGAAUACCGAUGGCGAAGGCAGCCCCCUGGGCCAAUACUGACGCUCAUGCACGAAAGCGUGGGGAGCAAACAGGAUUAGAUACCCUGGUAGUCCACGCCCUAAACGAUGCCAACUAGGUGUUGGAGGGGUUAAACCCUUUUAGUGCCGUAGCUAAC
rnacentral:rRNA from 1 species